GCCCGGCUAGCUCAAUUGGAAGAGCGUUCACCUUUGACUUUGACAAAUAGAAUGGUUGCAAGUUCGAACCUUGCGCUGGGCC